rnacentral:rRNA from 1 species
UGGGGAAUUUUGGACAAUGGGCGAAAGCCUGAUCCAGCAAUGCCGCGUGUGUGAAGAAGGCCUUCGGGUUGUAAAGCACUUUUGUCCGGAAAGAAAUCCUUGGCUCUAAUACAGUCGGGGGAUGACGGUACCGGAAGAAUAAGCACCGGCUAACUACGUGCCAGCAGCCGCGGUAAUACGUAGGGUGCAAGCGUUAAUCGGAAUUACUGGGCGUAAAGCGUGCGCAGGCGGUUUGCUAAGACCGAUGUGAAAUCCCCGGGCUCAACCUGGGAACUGCAUUGGUGACUGGCAGGCUAGAGUAUGGCAGAGGGGGGUAGAAUUCCACGUGUAGCAGUGAAAUGCGUAGAGAUGUGGAGGAAUACCGAUGGCGAAGGCAGCCCCCUGGCCAAGUACUGACGCUCAUGCACGAAAGCGUGGGGGAGCAAACAGGAUUAGAUACCCCUGGUAGUCCACGCCCCUAAAACGAUGUCAACUAGUUGUUGGGGGAUUCAUUUCCUUAGUAACGUAGCUAACGCGUGAAGUUGACCGCCUGGGGGAGUACGGUCGCAAGAUUAAAACUCAAAUAAUUGACGGGGUCAUAGCUGUUUCCU